rnacentral:rRNA from 1 species
GAUGAACGCUGGCGGCGUGCCUAAUACAUGCAAGUCGAGCGAACAGAUGAGGAGCUUGCUCCUCUGACGUUAGCGGCGGACGGGUGAGUAACACGUGGAUAACCUACCUAUAAGACUGGGAUAACUUCGGGAAACCGGAGCUAAUACCGGAUAAUAUAUUGAACCGCAUGGUUCAAUAGUUAAAGACGGUUUUGCUGUCACUUAUAGAUGGAUCCGCGCCGCAUUAGCUAGUUGGUAAGGUAACGGCUUACCAAGGCAACGAUGCGUAGCCGACCUGAGAGGGUGAUCGGCCACACUGGAACUGAGACACGGUCCAGACUCAUACGGGAGGCAGCAGUAGGGAAUCUUCCGCAAUGGGCGAAAGCCUGACGGAGCAACGCCGCGUGAGUGAUGAAGGUCUUCGGAUCGUAAAACUCUGUUAUUAGGGAAGAACAAAUGUGUAAGUAACUAUGCACGUCUUGACGGUACCUAAUCAGAAAGCCACGGCUAACUACGUG